rnacentral:rRNA from 1 species
AACGAACGCUGGCGGCAGGCCUAACACAUGCAAGUCGAACGUGAAGCCACCUUCGGGUGGUGGAAAGUGGCAGACGGGUGAGUAACGCGUGGGAACGUGACUGUCGGUUCGGGAUAACCCAGGGAAACUUGGGCUAAUACCGGAUACGCCCUUCGGGGGAAAGAUUCAUUGCCGAAAGAUCGGCCCGCGUCGGAUUAGCUAGUUGGUGGGGUAAAAGCCUACCAAGGCGACGAUCCGUAGCUGGUCUGAGAGGAUGACCAGCCACACUGGGACUGAGACACGGCCCAGACUCCUACGGGAGGCAGCAGUGGGGAAUAUUGGACAAUGGGCGCAGGCCUGAUCCAGCCAUGCCGCGUGGGUGAUGAAGGCCCUAGGGUUGUAAAGCCCUUUCAGCGGGGAAGAUAAUGACGGUACCCGCAGAAGAAGCCCCGGCUAACUUCGUGCCAGCAGCCGCCGUAAAAC